rnacentral:rRNA from 1 species
AUUGAACGCUGGCGGCAGGCCUAACACAUGCAAGUCGAGCGGAGCGGCGGACGGGCGAGUAAUGCAUAUGAAUCUGCCUGGUCGUGGGGGAUAACGUCCGGAAUCGGGCGCUAAUCCAGCAUACUAUCAGAUGAGUCUAGGUCUAAUUAGCUAGUUGGUGGGGUAAAGGCCUACCAAGGCGAUGAUCCGUAAGUGGUCGGAGAGGAUGAUCAGUCACACUGGAACUGAGACACGGUCCAGACUCCUACGGGAGGCAGCAGUGGGGAAGAUUGAGCAAUGGAGGAAACCCUGACCCAGCAAUGCCGCGUGAUUGAAGAAGGGUUUCGGAUUGUAAAGCACUUUUGGCAGAAAAGCGGUACCUACAGAAUAAGCACCGGCUAACUACGUGCCAGCAGCCGCGGUAAUAC